GUGGGGAAUUUUGGACAAUGGGCGCAAGCCUGAUCCAGCAAUGCCGCGUGCAGGAAGAAGGCCUUCGGGUUGUAAACUGCUUUUGUACGGAACGAAACGGUCCUGGUUAAUACCUGGGGCUAAUGACGGUACCGUAAGAAUAAGCACCGGCUAACUACGUGCCAGCAGCCGCGGUAAUACGUAGGGUGCAAGCGUUAAUCGGAAUUACUGGGCGUAAAGCGUGCGCAGGCGGUGCUGUAAGACAGGCGUGAAAUCCCCGGGCUUAACCUGGGAAUUGCGCUUGUGACUGCAGUGCUGGAGUGCGGCAGAGGGGGAUGGAAUUCCGCGUGUAGCAGUGAAAUGCGUAGAUAUGCGGAGGAACACCGAUGGCGAAGGCAAUCCCCUGGGCCUGCACUGACGCUCAUGCACGAAAGCGUGGGGAGCAAACAGGAUUAGAAACCCGUGUAGUCC
rnacentral:rRNA from 1 species